rnacentral:piRNA from 1 species
UCUAGCCCGGGAACCGAGUUGCGGGAGUGC